rnacentral:rRNA from 1 species
GACGAACGCUGGCGGCGUGCCUAACACAUGCAAGUCGAACGGAGUUAAGACUUCGGUUUUAACUUAGUGGCGAACGGGUGAGUAACGCGUGAGGAACCUGCCUUUCAGUGGGGGACAACAGUUGGAAACGACUGCUAAUACCGCAUAAUGUUUCGAGAGGGCAUCCUCUUGAAACCAAAGCUUUAUGUGCUGAAAGAUGGUCUCGCGUCUGAUUAGCUAGAUGGCGGGGUAACGGCCCACCAUGGCGACGAUCAGUAGCCGGUCUGAGAGGAUGAACGGCCACAUUGGAACUGAGAUACGGUCCAGACUCCUACGGGAGGCAGCAGUGGGGAAUAUUGGGCAAUGGGCGAAAGCCUGACCCAGCAACGCCGCGUGAGGGAAGAAAGGGUUUCGGCUCGUAAACCUCUGUCCUAUGGGACGAAGAAGUGACGGUACCAUAGGAGGAAGCCCCGGCUAACUACGUG